AUUGAACGCUGGCGGCAGGCCUAACACAUGCAAGUCGAACGGUAACAGGAUGCAGCUUGCUGCUUUGCUGACGAGUGGCGGACGGGUGAGUAAUGUCUGGGAAACUGCCUGAUGGAGGGGGAUAACUACUGGAAACGGUAGCUAAUACCGCAUAACGUCGCAAGACCAAAGAGGGGGACCUUCGGGCCUCUUGCCAUCGGAUGUGCCCAGAUGGGAUUAGCUAGUAGGUGGGGUAACGGCUCACCUAGGCGACGAUCCCUAGCUGGUCUGAGAGGAUGACCAGCCACACUGGAACUGAGACACGGUCCAGACUCCUACGGGAGGCAGCAGUGGGGAAUAUUGCACAAUGGGCGCAAGCCUGAUGCAGCCAUGCCGCGUGUAUGAAGAAGGCCUUCGGGUUGUAAAGUACUUUCAGCGGGGAGGAAGGGAGUAAAGUUAAUACCUUUGCUCAUUGACGUUACCCGCAGAAGAAGCACCGGCUAACUCCGUG
rnacentral:rRNA from 1 species